rnacentral:rRNA from 1 species
UUUUUCGAGAAUUUGAUCUUGGUUCAGAUUGAAUGCUGACGGCGUGGAUGAGGCAUGCGAGUCGAACGAACUAGUUUACUAGUUAGU